GCGGCAACAGCAUCGAUUUAUUGCUUAUUUUGGAGUGAGGGAUCCCCCGAAACACAAGAAAAAAUCUGGCUGCAAGAGGUUACUUAGUUUCAUUAAAAUGCGUGAGAUGCAUCUUAAAAUCAACAAAAAUUCAAAAAGAUAAAGAAAGAAAGAAAAACAAGAAAGAGGAAACAAACGAAAAUGGCGUAGGCAAACUUCGAAACAAUUGAACACGAAACUAUGAAAUUGAAGUGCGAAAGCGAUCGAACGAUUACGAAAACGAAGCGAAAACGAUCGAAGGAAGCGAAAGAAAUUCGAACGAAGUGACGCCGAUUCAAGCGAUCGAGAAUCGCUUCAGAUGAAUUCUAUGUAUAAUUUGUGAGAUGAUCGCCAGUAUAAAUUAAGAGUUGAAAUGUGUUUGGUGUUUGAUUCGUAUCGAACGCAACGCCAUUUAGAUCCUGUAUGGCAAUAACAGUUUCGAAGUGCCCAUUUACGUGAACUAAAGAUAUUCACAGCAAGAUUGCAAGUGACAAACUCCCAAGAUUCAGAAGAGAAUGAUAUUGUGAUCAAACACGAUUGCUUGAUUUGCUACACUUUGUUUUACCGAGCCACAAGCGGCAUCUUGUUGAUUUUACUAAGCAUAUUAAGUUCACAUGUAUCAAGAAUGCAAUGAUUUGUCUGGCUACCUAUGGUCUGCACAGGAGUAUAUGACAAGGUUGAAACCUCAGGGACAGAGGUUUCAAGGGGAGGGUGUUGUUGCGGCAACAGCAUCGAUUUAUUGCUUAUUUUGGAGUGAGGGAUCCCCCGAAACACAAGAAAAAAUCUGGCUGCAAGAGGUUACUUAGUUUCAUUAAAAUGCGUGAGAUGCAUCUUAAAAUCAACAAAAAUUCAAAAAAGAUAAAGAAAGAAAGAAAAACAAGAAAGAGGAAACAAACGAAAAUGGCGUAGGCAAACUUCGAAACAAUUGAACACGAAACUAUGAAAUUGAAGUGCGAAAGCGAUCGAACGAUUACGAAAACGAAGCGAAAACGAUCGAAGGAAGCGAAAGAAAUUCGAACGAAGUGACGCCGAUUCAAGCGAUCGAGAAUCGCUUCAGAUGAAUUCUAUGUAUAAUUUGUGAGAUGAUCGCCAGUAUAAAUUAAGAGUUGAAAUGUG